rnacentral:lncRNA from 1 species
GACGACCCGACCCGUUCCCCCAAAUAACCCUUAAUUAAAAGAAAAGAGAGCUUAAUCCCUAAAUCCCAAAGACGCGCAAUGUUCAUCUUCUUCUUCAUCUCAGCCGCGUCCAAACUCCGCCAAAUCUCAGGCGGGUGAGCCAAAAUCACUCACAUGCAUCUUAUCUCACCACGUCAGCAAUUCUAACCGCUUCUGACAUUUUUUUCAUCUCUCAUGUGCUGGAUUUGUUUGGGAAUUUCUGGAGAAUGAAGUCCUAGAAAUGGGAGUCAUGGAUUGAUUUUGAAUCGAUCCUCUCCUUCCAUUUGUCCGGAUUUGUUGUAAAAAGAUAUUUUUUGGGAGUUCUUGAAAAAAAAAGGAGAAAAACUUCGAGAGAGGGGUAUAUAUACCUAGGUCUGUUUUCAGUAUGGAGGAGUUUUUUUUAGGUAGAUUUUUAGGUUUCUAGAAAGGCUUCUCUUCUUCCCUUUUGAUGUUCUGCAUUUUUCUUUUGUCUAAUUCUAGUCACAAAAUCAAAAAUAAAAAAAUUUUAUUUUGUUUAAUAUUUGCAACCAUGUUCUAUACACCUAAAAAUUCAGAAAUUUCAUCUUCAUUACGAGCUGGAUUGAGGUUCGAGAUUAGGUGUUAGUAGCCGAUUGAAGAUUCCGUCCGAGUUUGCUGUUUGGUUCAAGUUUUUGUUCUAGCUGUGGUAUCGAUUUUGUUCAUAUAGUUACUUAAUAGUUUUGAGGAAUUUGAAACUCCAAUCUUCAGGUGCAGUUCCUUCUUUCUUCUCAUGUCUCUGUAUGUGUGGAUCCAAGUAUGGUUGAGUCUAAGAUAUGGAGAAUGAAAUUACAUUUUUGUUCAUUUCCUUUAUAAAUCAGUGUGUUUGUGUUUAAUUUGUGAUUGGAACAUCCUGCGAGGUCAUCUUUGCUUUCUUUGGGUUUGAAUGAUUGAAGUUUGAAUCGAGUCUGUAGUUAUUAUACAAGGUGCAAUGUCAGUUUGUCGAUUCAGUGGCAUUUACAGCUCUUCUCACACGUCUCUAAUGCAAUACAAGCUUAUAACACCAGUUAUCUUUUGUUGUUGUUAUGUUGCGCAGUCAAUGAUAUUUACCAAGACCCGCUAUGAAUGCUUGAAGAUAAGCGAUUCAAUGAUUGUUCUAAAGCAGUAGAUGGUAUAGACUUCAGCUAUCCAAGUAGAAUUGAUUUAAAUUUCAGUAAUAGCUUAUUAAGGUUUUGUUCAUUCUUGUCAUGUUUGGUUUAGCUUUGCAUUCGCGUGGAUUGUUCCCCUCGUCUUGGUCCGUAGAAAUGCUGCCGUUGUUAUUUUUAUUAUUCUUGUCAUGUUGAUUCGCUAGUUCUUCUGUUGAUAUUUAGUUGUUUGGUUUCUCUUGCUGUUCUUCUCUUGUUAGGUGCGUAUGCCGAUUUUCUAUUGUCCUCUAUUAGGUUGUGAAGAAUGUUCGAGUGCUAAUUCCAUGAACAUGUUAAAUAUGAUGGAAUCCAACUAUUUUGAACAUAAAAUCUGUCUUGUUUUCUCUGUCUCAAACUGGGAAGUUCAUCGAGUUGCUGUUAUUUGAAAUUUUGAACUGGUGUUAUUCCACUGUCAUUAUACAAAAAUAAUUCUAAUGCCUAAAUUUCAUGUUGUUACUUCUGAAUUUUACGGUAUUUUCUUCUCUUCCUUCUUUGUUUACAUUCCUUUUGAAUGGUCUUGGUGAGACUGAGAAUUAUAUUGCCUGAAUAGAUACCGCAUGCUAGAUCUUUUGACAAUUCAUUUGUUCGAAGCUGCUUGUUUCAUAAUGUCGCUUAAUUGGUUCUUUGGAUUAGUUUCUCGGAUUAGAAACUCCAAUGAUUUGAAAAAGUUAUUAGUUGGCUUGGGGUUUUAAAAGCUGAAUAAAUUUUACAUUCUGAUUA